rnacentral:rRNA from 1 species
AUUGAACGCUGGCGGCAGGCCUAACACAUGCAAGUCGAGCGGAGCGGCGGACGGGUGAGUAAUGCCUAGGUAUCUGCCUGGUCGUGGGGGAUAACGUCCGGCAACGGGCGCUAAUACCGCAUACUAUCAGAUGAGCCUAGGUCGGAUUAGCUAGUUGGUGGUGUAAAGGCCUACCACGGCGACGAUCCGUAACUGGUCUGAGAGGAUGAUCAGUCACACGGGAACUGAGACACGUUCCAGGCUCCUACGUGAGGCAGCAGUGGGGAAUAUUGGACAAUGGGCGCAAGCCUGAUCCAGCCAUGCCGCGUGUGUGAAGAAGGUCUUCGGAUUGUAAAGCACUUUAAGUUGGGAGGCGUUACCAACAGAAGAAGCACCGGCUAACUGCGUGCCAGCAGCCGCGGUAAUUC